UGCUGAUGGAUGGUGUCAAAGUGGAGCCUGAAGUCUGAAAAUGCUAGUGCUGCAGCUGUCAUUUUUAUGAUAUUGGUUGUCCUUCAUUUCAGGACAGAGGCAGUGCAGGUGUGUGAGUUUUAAGAAGAAAAAGAAACAACCAGUGCUAACAGGACAGCAGGUGACUACUGACCAGCAGCGGUGCAGGAAUCUGGUCUGACAGCACCAAGCAUGCACAGACCAGCGCAGGAAUCCUCUACAGGCUUCCUGCCAGUCAGGAAUGUGAUUCAGUGGAGUGAGGUCACCAAGGGAUAAAAAGCCUUCAGGAGCUGGGAGGAGGCCACAGCAUGUGUAGCUCAGUUUUUUACCAGUAAAGCCCUCUCAGGUGAGCUCAUGUGUCAGUUUCAGGAUGUGCCACGCAGGUAAGGCAAGUCCAACCAAUCACUGCCAUACAACACAAAGACCAACGCUGUUUAGGGGAGGGAACAAGGAAAUAAGGCCCUGCAGGACCGGUGGAACCAUCAACUGACUGCUAUUCUUUAACUUGGGUGGGGUGGGGUUGCCAUAAAAGUUUUUUUUUUUUUUUUUUCCUUUUUCUUUUUACAGGGAAGUAAGUUAAGAAGUAAAAAACACAAUAGCUGACCUUUAGGACCAUUACUGCAUAACAGAUCUACUCUUUGUCGUUCCCAACAGGAAUCCUUCAACACUAGUCGUCUCUAACAGUUUUGAAAAUGAAACGCUCAGACAUAAAUGUUUAUGUGCUUUUAUACAAACGGAUUCCCCAUCUGUCAGCACUGUACGUCAUCUGUGCCGCUCUUCCUUUUUAUUUUUGACUGUCGACAUAGCCAGGGGCAUCUAUACAGACAAAUAUAUAGUAAAAGACGCACAACUAUUUAAAUUAACUUCUGAGGAGGAAGUGACACACGUUCCAGUUAUACUACCUCAAAAUACUGAGCCAACUGUGCCUUUAAGGUUAAUCCAUCAAUGACAGCAUCAAAGAAGGUUUCAGCAGUCAUUAACAUCUUUGGUUUUAAAGUCACCGCAGGUUUUCAGUCACCCAGAAAACAUCGUUACCAGACAGUGUUAGAACAACAGUUGUACAAUCCAGCACUGUCAGGUAAGAUGGAUCCUGAGAGCCAUUUCUGUUGCUGCUCACGUCUUUGAGCCAAGCCAGGUGCACGUUGCUGCUAACAUUGCUAAAAUGGUUUGUCUGAUUGCAGUCAGCAGAUGACUAUCAUCAUCAUUACCAGGCAGUAUUAGAGAAAGUGAUGAUAUCCAAUGCUGCCUCGUAAGAUGGAGAUAAUCACCCAAACACACAGAACAUCUCAUAACUAAACUCCUAUAGCGUACAGCACUCAGUGAUAUAAAGGUUUGGAUAGAACAUUAUGCGAUAUCUUUGCAAGGUUAUUAAAAGCCAAUGAGUGAAUGAAUGUGACAUCUGUUAAAGCAGAUGUGUGUGCGAACAAUACACAACCUAAUCUUUCAUACGGUUGUCAGAGAGAAAAAAAAGGGGAACUCAACCUUUAUGAUGGAGGGAAAUGUGUACAUAAGUGUUAAAUAAGUGUCACAAAACACAGCCCAAACAUCAACAUAUUUAUCAUAUUUAAAAAGUGAACCAUGUAUGGCCCAGAAAUAGCAUUGUAAAUAGGAGUGGGGAAGUCCGUAUUCGGAGACCACCUCUCUAUAGUAUUAUUGCUGAGCCCUUGUUGUGGUCAGGGUUUUCAGCUCAAACUCGCUGUCACAGAAGACUGGGCCACAGUAGUUGUUAAUGAUUGCCCAAACCUGUUCCGACUAGUCUAAAUCUACGGCACGGCAAGGAUGGGAGGGCUGCUUUUCACACAAUACAUGGCAGUUACUAAUUUCAAAUACCGCACGCUGCAUAUACGCUCAAAAAUACCAUCGAGUGAAAAGCACGUCAGCCUCGGGGAGUUGAUUCUGUUCCACGUCACAACCCGGCAGACGGGAAUAGUGUUUUUAUGUUGCAACAUACUGAUCUGGCUCUAAUAGAGCAGUGUUGUCAAGUCCAUUUCAACAGAUGUUUUAUGAAAUAGAGGAAAGGAGAAGGCCCUUUUUUUUUCUGUUUUCCGUUGGUGGACCUCUCAAGCUGUUGUCUUUGUGUUUGCUGAGUGAUGAAAGGCUGAUGGAAUGCUGCUCGGCUCGACCUGAGCCGACGCCGUGUAUGCAGAAGGUCACUGAAACAGCCCUCGUUUACUGAAUAAGGUGGAUCAUUCACAGAAAGAACAAGGAAUUUCUCUCAGCACAGAAACCCAAACAAAAAGGUGUAAUUUUCAGGUCGCAGCCAAUCUCCUUAGCCUCUGGCGCUCACAGGUGUGUCCCCCAUGCUGUCUUUGGCCAAUGGUGGUUGAGACGAAACCUCCCCCCCACCCCACCACUCUCCCACCCUCCGACUCCCACCUCACCGGUUCGCUCACCUCUACCCUCCCCAUCAUCCCCCAGGCCUUCCCUCUACCUCCCUUUGUGUCCACACACCUUUUUUGUCCCAACAAUAACCUGGCUGAGUUACAGCGGGAAUGACAGGUGAACAAAGUGCAGGAGAUACAGGCAUCAUUUCUUUUCACAAAGCCAGAGAAUCACCAAGGGAGCAGAGUGCACACAAGCGGUCUAGCAGCCACAGCCGUGCUCUGACUUGCCGCCUGCCACCAGCAGCGGGUAAUUGGCCCCGGAGGAUUUAGGGCGGGAUGGUGUGUGUGGAUGGCGCGGUCGUAUCCCAUAAUCUCCAAUGGGGCAGUUGCCAUAGAGAAGCGGAGUGAGGCAUACCAAUUAUUGCUGCAUCUUAUUCCACAACACACCUGUUUGGCUCAUCUGCUGGUUUAAGGCCAAACUGCCGCUGUGAUCAGUCUGACAUCAGUGACAAGCAAAGAGAUAAAUGGAGUAAUACCCAUACAUAUUCUAUAACCCCACCUGUGCAUCUAUUUAUCAUAAACAAAAUACACGUUCAGGGAGAGAUGUUGCCUCUAGGAUCUUAUCUGACACAAUGUUCAUAUUGUACAGAUCUGCAAAAAAAAGUUAGAGGCUAUUCCUUCAGUGUUAAUGUAUUAUACCUAAAGUAAUGUACAUGUUAGGAGCUAAAAGCAAUUGGUUAAUGUCAAGCAAAGAGGUUGAUCAGUUAAAUAAGAAAAAUGUCUUAAAAAGAAAGACGUUGGUGUUGAAGGCAAACACCCGUCUCUACACAGCACUGUACUGUAUAAAUGUUAUUCUACUUUCUGCAUGGCACAUGGCAAUUGCUAUUGAAUGACAUUCAUUGUGGACAUUAUAAACAUUUAUCCGUCAUUCAUGCCACCAUUUUCUGAAAGUGAAGUUUCCAUCCACCUGUGUUAAAUUGAGAAACCUGAGUGCAGGUGCCAGAAAUUUGAAAACAAAUAGCCAAAAAUUCACAAAACAGGUUUUACAUGUGCAGGAGGUGGGACAGUUGGCAUAUAAAAAAUGAGAAUAUGUGAUUAAGGUUCAUGGAGAGAGAUUUUUCAAAUCCGUCUUAUCUACUAUAGACAAAAGAAUAAGAACAGUGCAGACAGGGUGCUUGUUGCAUAUCAAUCCUCACUCUAUCACUAUAUAGGCUAAUUGCAGGGUAUACAUAUAAAAUACAAAUACCAUCUUAGGUGGGAAGCAGUAAUGAUAAGUCAUGGUGUAUCAGAGAGACUUAUACACAGUUAUUUAAGUAAUCUUGUCACCCUUCUCCUCUUUAAUGUAUUUGCAUGCAGGUAGCACUGAUUCACAUUUUGAUUUUGCAAGAAUUUUAGAAAUGCACCAAAGACUUUUAAAUUUUCAUGGCUCACUUACAAAGUACCACAACUAAGGACGUGCCUAUACUGUAGGAAUAAAGACUCAUGCGUGUGAAAUUGUUUGUUUCCUGUUUACUUCACAGUUAAAUCUACAGUAUGUAAUGUGUCACUGUUCCCAUCAUGUAUGAGAGUAUCUGACACUUCAUGACUUUUUAUGUUGCAUUAUUAUAGACGUAUGUUCUGCAUAUAUCAGAGGGAGAUCCUUUAAAAGUUUUAUUUGGUUAAGAUCAACAUCUCUGAAUGGAUUCCUCACUUUCUUUAACUUACAUGUGCAGUCACACACACACACACACACAUACACACACAUACUCUCUCUCUCUUAAGUUUGACUCUACCUGUCAAACACACCUGCAGAGCUGCUGGCCCGGGUCAAGUUUCAGUCAUUCACGGUCGAGACGUUGCAGUUUGUUUAGGAAAUGAGCGUAAAUGCUGACCUCAAGGUCAUCAUUCAUUGUGCCCUACUUAUAAUAGCACGUCAACCUCGCCUGCCUCACGGCAAAAUUUGGUAUUGUCAAGCUUUAAAGGAUUUGUGUGUGUUCAGUUGAGGGCAUUAUGAGGAACUAUGAUAGCAUACCAUCUCCAAACACACCUGCCUGUUUCUUCCAAAAGACUUUCUAUUUGGUCUCAUGUAAUUAGCUUGCUGUGUAAUGUGUUUACUAAGGCAUUAGCAUGAGGGGAAUGACGAUGAUUUUUAGAGGAGUAUGCUUUAGUUCAUGUGUGUGUUGAAUUCAUCCAAGCUUGAAAAAUGUUGAAUGGUUUUAACCAAAGGUGUGUUGUGAGUGCCCAUUACAUGAGGCUUUUAGCGUCCUCAGGGCAGAAAUUAUUUUAAGAGGGAAACAUCAUCCAGCAGCUGAUAAUCAUUUGGGUCAAUAGUCAGUUGCUGUGUGUAAAUUCACAGAAAGGAAUUAUGCAGUUGCUAAUGACUUGGAAACAUGUUACUGCUUUUCUCUCUCUGUCAAACUCAUAUAGUAUUAUUUAUACAUGCAGUCAUUUGCCAGAAUCAAUAAAUGCCUGUUAGUAUUAGCAUAUUUUUUCCGCUGCAUUAGAAGUUACCCACUCUUCAACUGACAAGAAAUGGGAAUAUUCAGUUAGUUUUGGUAACAACUGGACCUUUCCAACAAAAUGGUGCCACAAACUAAGACGUCCAUGGAGCUAAAUCCGGAACUAAAUGUCCUUUUUGCACAAUCCUGUUUGCCGUUCCACCACAUCUGAACAACCGUGAAGAUUUGACAAAUAGACCAAUAACGGAUGAAAUACCAGAGAAUUUUCACUCAUGAUGAAACAUCAACACAGAUAUAUCAUUCUUGUAGUUUACCAUUGCGUGACUGAUGGGAAAUCACCAACAUCAGUUUGUUUUUUAACGUCAGUAAGCAAGAAAUAUACUCCCCUAGUCCUAAUAUUGAUACUAAAUGUCAUCCACUGUCCGCUCACUCACUGUCUGAAUGAAUACUGCUCUUGUUGUUGUAGCAACUUCGAAGCCUGUGUUUGACCGAUCAUGCGGCAAAUUCUACCCAAAUAGUUCCUCGGU